rnacentral:rRNA from 1 species
AGUGAACGCUGGCGGUAGGCCUAACACAUGCAAGUCGAACGGCGGCACAGUAAGAGCUUGCUCUUACGGGUGGCGAGUGGCGGACGGGUGAGGAAUGCAUCGGAAUCUACUUUUUCGUGGGGGAUAACGUAGGGAAACUUACGCUAAUACCGCAUACGACCUACGGGUGAAAGCAGGGGAUCUUCGGACCUUGCGCGAUUGAAUGAGCCGAUGUCGGAUUAGCUAGUUGGCGGGGUAAAGGCCCACCAAGGCGACGAUCCGUAGCUGGUCUGAGAGGAUGAUCAGCCACACUGGAACUGAGACACGGUCCAGACUCCUACGAGAGGCAGCAGUGGGGAAUAUUGGACAAUGGGCGCAAGCCUGAUCCAGCCAUACCGCGUGGGUGAAGAAGGCCUUCGGGUUGUAAAGCCCUUUUGUUGGGAAAGAAAAGCAGCAGGUUAAUACCCCGCUGUUCUGACGGUACCCAAAGAAUAAGCACCGGCUAACUUCGUG